UCAUGACUUCCGGGAACUCUGGUGGAGGCCUUAAAUUGCCUUAUGGUUAAUCCAGCUGUGCAUACUUUGUAUGGGUGAUAAAUGAUAUUGUUAUUAGAAACUGUUUUUGCUACUUGCUUCAAUUUAUAUAAUACUAUAUUUGGUUCAUUUUGUAACAGCUGAAUCUUAGCAAGGGUACAUUCAAUUGCUAAUUACCUGGAUCUCUUCAUCCAAGGUGUAAUCUAGGCAAAACGAUGUUGG